AGGCCACUGCUAUCGGAGUCCGACUAAGCCAUGCGAGUCAUGGGGUGCCCAUACCCUUCGGGGUAUGGUCACACCGGCGGACGACUCAGUAACACGUGGACAACCUACCCUCGGGAGGGGGAUAACCCCGGGAAACUGGGGCUAAUACCCCAUAGGGAAUGGGUACUGGAAUGUCCCAUUCCCGAAAGCCUUCGGGCGCCCGAGGAUGGGUCUGCGGCCGAUUAGGUAGUUGUUGGGGUAACGGCCCAACAAGCCUACGAUCGGUACGGGCUGUGGGAGCAGGAGCCCGGAGGUGGACCCUGAGACACGGGUCCAGGCCCUACGGGGCGCAGCAGGCGCGAAACCUUUACAAUGCGGGAAACCGUGAUAAGGGGACUCCGAGUGCCCGCGCAAUGCGCGGGCUGUCCGGGUGCCUAAAAAGCACCCGACAGCAAGGGCCGGGCAAGACCGGUGCCAGCCGCCGCGGUAACACCGGCGGCCCGAGUGGUGGCCACUCUUAUUGGGCUUAAAGCGUCCGUAGCCGGUCUGGUAAGUCUUCCGGGAAAUCUGGCGGCUUAACCGUCAGGCUUCCGGAAGAUACUGCCAGACUUGGGACCGGGAGAGGCCGAGGGUACUCCCGGGGUAGGGGUGAAAUCCUGUAAUCCCGGGAGGACCACCUGUGGCGAAGGCGCUCGGCUUGAACGGGUCCGACGGUGAGGGACGAAAGCUGGGGGCGCGAACCGGAUUAGAUACCCGGGUAGUCCCAGCCGUAAACGAUGCGGGCUAGGUGUUGCGUGGAUCGCGAAUCCACGCAGUGCCGAAGGGAAACCGUGAAGCCCGCCGCCUGGGAAGUACGGCCGCAAGGCUGAAACUUAAAGGAAUUGGCGGGGGAGCACUACAACGGGUGGAGCCUGCGGUUUAAUUGGAUUCAACGCCGGGAAGCUUACCGGGGGAGACAGCGGGAUGAAGGUCGGGCUGAAGACCCUACCAGACUAGCUGAGAGGUGGUGCAUGGCCGCCGUCAGUUCGUACUGUGAAGCAUCCUGUUAAGUCAGGCAACGAGCGAGACCCGCGCCCUCAGUUGCCAGCGGUUCGCUUUUGCGAAGCCGGGCACACUGGGGGGACUGCCGGCGCUAAGCCGGAGGAAGGUGCGGGCAACGGCAGGUCCGUAUGCCCCGAAUCCCCCGGGCUACACGCGGGCUACAAUGGCCGGGACAAUGGGUACCGACCCCGAAAGGGGAAGGUAAUCUCCUAAACCCGGUCUAACCUGGGAUCGAGGGCUGCAACUCGCCCUCGUGAACCUGGAAUCCGUAGUAAUCGCGCCUCAAAAUGGCGCGGUGAAUACGUCCCUGCUCCU
rnacentral:rRNA from 1 species